GAUGAACGCUGGCGGCGUGCCUAACACAUGCAAGUCGAACGAAGCACCUUACCUGAUUCUUCGGAUGAAAGUUUGGUGACUGAGUGGCGGACGGGUGAGUAACGCGUGGGUAACCUGCCCUGUACAGGGGGAUAACAGCUGGAAACGGCUGCUAAUACCGCAUAAGCGCACGAGGAGACAUCUCCUUGUGUGAAAAACUCCGGUGGUACAGGAUGGGCCCGCGUCUGAUUAGCUGGUUGGCAGGGUAACGGCCUACCAAGGCAACGAUCAGUAGCCGGUCUGAGAGGAUGAACGGCCACAUUGGAACUGAGACACGGUCCAAACUCCUACGGGAGGCAGCAGUGGGGAAUAUUGCACAAUGGGGGAAACCCUGAUGCAGCAACGCCGCGUGAGUGAAGAAGUAUUUCGGUAUGUAAAGCGCUAUCAGCAGGGAAGAUAAUGACGGUACCUGACUAAGAAGCUCCGGCUAAAUACGUG
rnacentral:rRNA from 1 species